rnacentral:rRNA from 1 species
GCGGAGGAAAAGAAACUAACAAGGAUUCCCUUAGUAACGGCGAGUGAAGCGGGAAGAGCUCAGACUUUAAAGCUUCGGCAUUGUAGUCUGUAUAAGCUAGGUCAGCUGUAGUGAUUAGUAAAGUGUUCUGGAACGGACCGCCAAGGAGGGUGAUAGCCCCGUCUACACUAAUCUCGAAAGCGUACGGCCGGCUUUCUAAGAGUCGAGUUGCUUGGGACUGCAGCUCUAAGUUGGGUGGUAAAUUCCAUCUAAAGCUAAAUAUUGGUGGGAGACCGAUAGCAAACAAGUACCGUGAGGGAAAGAUGAAAAGAACUUUGAAAAGAGAGUUAAAGAGUACCUGAAAUUGCUGAAAAGGAACCGAUAGGAAGCAGUGUUGGUGCGUGAACUUUCGUAUGGUCCGCAUGCGGACUGUGCUGUUGUUCACGCAUAAGUUAGGCUUGUUUACUUGUGUGGGAGAGAGCCCAGACCUGUAUGGGAUGGGAAAUCGUCAUACGACUGAACGACUCUAACGAAAUGCCUCUUAUCAUCCCGUCUUGAAACACGGACCAAGGAGUCUAACAUGUCUGCGAGUGCUCGGAGUUUAACUCCAAGCGCGAAAUUAACGUAAAUGUGACUUGUCACAGAGGUAGGAUGCUUUGGCUGCACUAUCGACCGACCAUGAUCCUACGGGAGAAAGGUUUGAGUGUGAGCAUACAUGUUGGGACCCGAAAGAUGGUGAACUAUGCUUGAGUAGGACGAAGCCAGGGGAAACUCUGGUGGAGGUCCGCAGCGAUUCUAACGUGCAAAUUGAUCGUCGAACUUGGGUAUAGGGGCGAAAGACUAAUCGAACCAUCUAGUAGCUGGUUCCUCCCGAAAUUUCCCUCAGGAUAGCUGCAACCGAAUAGUUUUAUCAGGUAAAGCGAAUGAUUAGAGGCCUCAGGGGUGGAACGUCCUUGACCUAUUCUCAAACUUUAAAUGGGUAAGAGCCCGAGGUUUCUUAACUGAACCUUGCGGUCGAAUGACGGUUGCUAGUGGGCCAAUCUGGGUAAGCUAGAUUGGCGAUGCGGGAUGAACCGAACGUCGAGUUAAAGUGCCAAAGUAUCCGCUAACCUAGAUCCCACAAAAGGUGUUGGUUCAUUAAGACAGCAGGACGGUGGCCAUGGAAGUCGGAACCCGCUAAGGAGUGUGUAACAACUCACCUGCCGAAUGAACUAGCCCUGAAAAUGGAUGGCGCUGAAGCGGAUCACUUAUACUCGACCAACCGUGCAAGUACGAAGCACUGUUGAGUAGGGGGGCGUGGAGCUCGUUGUGCAUUCUGUGGCGUGAGCCGGGAUGAAACGGGUUCUAGUGCAGAUCUUGGUAGCAGUAGCAAAUAUUCAAAUGAGAACUUUGAAGACUGACGUGGAGAAAGGUUCCAUGUGAACAGCAAUUGGACAUGGGUGAGUCGAUCCUAAGAGAUAGGAAAAUUCUGUUUCAAAGUGGUCCUUUUUCGGAAGGGCCCGCCUAUCGAAAGGGAAUCGGGUUAAUAUUCCCGAACCAGGACGUGGAUAUUGAGUGGCAACACAAGCGAAAUCGGGGACGUUGGCGGGAGCCCUGGGAAGAGUUCUCUUUUCUUUUUAACAGCUCGAUAGACCUUGGAAUCGGAUUGCCCGGCGAUAAGGUUUAUUGACUGGGAAAGCAGCAUACUUUUUGUGCUGUCCGGUGCGCUCCCGACGAUCCGUGAAAACCCGGUGGCGUGACUUAUUCGCACCCCUGGUCGUACUCAUAACCGCCUCAGGUCUCCAAGGUGUGCAGCCUCUAGUCAAUAGAAUAAUGUAGAUAAGGGAAGUCGGCAAAAUAGAUCCGUAACCUCGGGAUAAGGAUUGGCUCUGAGGGUUGGGCCUAGGGGUCUCAGGAACAAAGGAUGUGGCGGUUAGGAGGGGACUGCGGCUCACGCUGCGGACCCCACCCGACUGCUCUCCCGAGGGCUUGAGAACGUCUUCGGACUUUCCCUAGUGCGUGGAACAACCAACUCAGAACUGGAGCGGACAAGGGGAAUC